UAUACGCCCUACGGGGGAAAAAUUUAUUGCUAUUAGAUGAGCCUAUAUUAGAUUAGUUAGUUGGUGAGGUAAAGGCUUACCAAGACAAUGAUCUAUAGCUGAUCUGAGAGGAUGAUCAGCCACACUGGAACUGAGAUACGGUCCAGACUCCUACGGGAGGCAGCAGUGGGGAAUAUUGGACAAUGGGCGAAAGCCUGAUCCAGCCAUGCCGCAUGAGUGAAGAAGGCCUUCGGGUUGUAAAGCUCUUUUAGUGAGGAAGAUAAUGACGGUACUCACAGAAGAAGUCCUGGCUAACUCCGUGCCAGCAGCCGCGGUAAUACGGAGAGGGCUAGCGUUAUUCGGAAUCAUUGGGCGUAAAGGGCGCGUAGGCGGGUUAGUAAGUUAAAAGUGAAAUCCCAAGGCUCAACCUUGGAACUGCUUUUAAAACUGCUAGUCUAGAGAUUGAAAGAGGAUAGAGGAAUUCCUAGUGUAGAGAUGAAAUUCGUAAAUAUUAGGAGGAACACCAGUGGCGAANGCGUCUAUCUGGUUCAAAUCUGACGCUGAGGCGCGAAGGCGUGGGGAGCAAACAGGAUUAGAUACCCUGGUAGUCCACGCUGUAAACGAUGAAUGUUAAAUAUGGGAAGUUUACUUUCUGUAUUAUAGCUAACGCGUUAAACAUUCCGCCUGGGGACUAC
rnacentral:rRNA from 1 species